UACGUAGGGUGCAAGCGUUGUCCGGAAUUAUUGGGCGUAAAGAGCUCGUAGGCGGCCUGUCGCGUCGGUUGUGAAGGCCCGGGGCUUAACCCCGGGUCUGCAGUCGAUACGGGCAGGCUAGAGUUCGGUAGGGGAGACUGGAAUUCCUGGUGUAGCGGUGAAAUGCGCAGAUAUCAGGAGGAACACCGGUGGCGAAGGCGGGUCUCUGGGCCGAUACUGACGCUGAGGAGCGAAAGCGUGGGGAGCAAACAGG
rnacentral:rRNA from 1 species